UCGGAGAGAAGAUGCACUUGUAUCACUGUCAGUAGAGUGGGAAUAUUAUCUGAAUUUUAUAGUAUUAAGUAUCCAUCAUGGCUGAUCUUAUUUCCUUCCAUAUCAGCCACCUCUGAUGAGAAAGACUGGACGUGAUG